rnacentral:rRNA from 1 species
AGAGAGAGACAUGCGCGCAUAUCAAUAAGCGGAGGAAAAGAAACUAACAAGGAUUCCCCUAGUAACGGCGAGUGAAGCGGGAAGAGCUCAAAUUUGAAAUCUUAAAGGGUUUCCCUUUACGAAUUGUAGUUUAAAGAAGUGUUUUCUGUUGAGGUUUUGGUAAAAGUUCUUUGGAAUAGGACAUCAUAGAGGGUGAGAAUCCCGUAUUUGACCUUUACUUUCAACUUUGUGAUACACUUUCAAAGAGUCGGAUUGUUUGGGAAUGCAGUCCAAAAUGGGUGGUAAAUUUCAUCUAAAGCUAAAUAUUGGCGAGAGACCGAUAGCGAACAAGUACCGUGAGGGAAAGAUGAAAAGAACUUUGAAAAGAGAGUUAAACAGUACGUGAAAUUGUCAAAAGGGAAGCGUUUGACACCAGUGUUGUUUUUCUGAAAAUCAAUUAAAGAACUGUUUAUGCUAAGUUGUUUAGACUUUAUCAGCUAACUGUUUAGUUUUGAGCUUUUCUUUAAUGCACUUUUCAGUUAACAAGUCAACAUCAAUUUCUUUUGCUGUAAAAAAGCUUGAGGAAGGUGGCUUGAGAUUCGUCUUAAGUGUUUAUAGCCUCUUGCCUAUGCAGUCGGAGAGAUUGAGGUCUGCAGCGUAGAUCCUUCGGGGCUAAAUGCAUUUGUGCUAAGUUAUAGCAUUUUAUAGACAACUUGUUGACUAUGAUUUGUCUUGUAGCUUACUCGCUUAUGUUAUUUUACCUACGCUUAGGAUGUUGAAGACUCUACAGAGAU